rnacentral:rRNA from 1 species
UACGAAGGGGGCUAGCGUUGCUCGGAAUCACUGGGCGUAAAGCGCACGUAGGCGGCUUUUUAAGUCAGGGGUGAAAUCCUGGAGCUCAACUCCAGAACUGCCUUUGAUACUGAGAGGCUCGAGUCCGGGAGAGGUGAGUGGAACUGCGAGUGUAGAGGUGAAAUUCGUAGAUAUUCGCAAGAACACCAGUGGCGAAGGCGGCUCACUGGCCCGAUACUGACGCUGAGGCACGAAGGCCAGGGGAGCAAACGGG